rnacentral:rRNA from 1 species
CCUACGGGGCGCAGCAGUGGGGAAUAUUGGACAAUGGGCGAAAGCCUGAUCCAGCCAUGCCGCGUGUGUGAAGAAGGCCUUCGGGUUGUAAAGCACUUUCAGUGGGGAAGAAAGCCUUGGGGCUAAUACCCUCGAGGAAGGACAUCACCCACAGAAGAAGCACCGGCUAACUCCGUGCCAGCAGCCGCGGUAAUACGGAGGGUGCGAGCGUUAAUCGGAAUUACUGGGCGUAAAGCGCGCGUAGGCGGUCUGAUAAGCCGGUUGUGAAAGCCCCGGGCUCAACCUGGGAACGGCAUCCGGAACUGUCAGGCUAGAGUGCAGGAGAGGAAGGUAGAAUUCCCGGUGUAGCGGUGAAAUGCGUAGAGAUCGGGAGGAAUACCAGUGGCGAAGGCGGCCUUCUGGACUGACACUGACGCUGAGGUGCGAAAGCGUGGGUAGCAAACAGGAUUAGAUCCCCGUGUAGUC